rnacentral:rRNA from 1 species
UGGGGAAUUUUGGACAAUGGGGGAAACCCUGAUCCAGCCAUCCCGCGUGUGCGAUGAAGGCCUUCGGGUUGUAAAGCACUUUUGGCAGGAAAGAAACGUCAUGGGUUAAUACCCCGUGAAACUGACGGUACCUGCAGAAUAAGCACCGGCUAACUACGUGCCAGCAGCCGCGGUAAUACGUAGGGUGCAAGCGUUAAUCGGAAUUACUGGGCGUAAAGCGUGCGCAGGCGGUUCGGAAAGAAAGAUGUGAAAUCCCAGAGCUCAACUUUGGAACUGCAUUUUUAACUACCGGGCUAGAGUGUGUCAGAGGGAGGUGGAAUUCCGCGUGUAGCAGUGAAAUGCGUAGAUAUGCGGAGGAACACCGAUGGCGAAGGCAGCCUCCUGGGAUAACACUGCCGCUCAUGCACGAAAGCGUGGGGAGCAAACAGG